UCUCCGUAGGUGAACCUGUGGAGGGAUCAUUACUAAUGUUCUUCGAUCGGCUCUGGCCGACCGACCACAUUACACCCCUUCUUUAUGCGUACCUUUUGUUCUCCUUUGGCGGGGCGACCUGCCGCUAGAACCACAUUAAAACCUUUUUGUAUGUAGCAUUACCUGUUCUGAUACCUAUAAUCGUUAUAACUUUUAAUAAUGGAUCUCUUGGCUCUGGCAUCGAUGAAGAACGCAGC
rnacentral:misc_RNA from 1 species